GACAUCAACGUUGUAGAUGCAUAGAUAUUCCGGUGACUUUAAUUUUAUCAUUUGGAUGCUGUGAAAAUGUUCGCAGAUUCAUCCCUUACGUUUUCAGCGAUGUUGAAUAUGUGAUUGUAUGACGUAUUCUAUCAAUUUAAAUGAAUGAAUAUUGUUUUAUUUUUGUAAAAAAAAUUGUUCUCGAUUCUCCUCUCCCUUUUCUUUCUCCCUCGCGGCUUCUCUUUCUUUCUCUCUAAGGUCCCAAGUUUUUUUUUUUCUGAUUUUUUAAACGAGGUGGCUAAUCCUAGUUUUUACUAAAC
rnacentral:lncRNA from 1 species